UCCCUGGUAGUAUAUCGGUUAGUACACGCGCCUGUCAUUUGUAUGGCCGCGCGAAAGCGGGGUUCGACUCCCCGCCAGGGAG